GCCAUUGUGAUUUAGUGGUUUGAGUGCUGGGCUACUACUCCAGAGACCAAGGUUCGAUUCCCACUCAGCCA